rnacentral:rRNA from 1 species
UACGAAGGGUGCAAGCGUUACUCGGAAUUACUGGGCGUAAAGCGUGCGUAGGUGGUUAGUUAAGUCUGAUGUGAAAGCCCUGGGCUCAACCUGGGAAUGGCAUUGGAAACUGGCGACCUAGAGUGCGGUAGAGGGUAGUGGAAUUCCCGGUGUAGCAGUGAAAUGCGUAGAGAUCGGGAGGAACAUCCGUGGCGAAGGCGACUUACUAAGGAGUUACUGACACUGAGGCACGAAAGCGUGGGGAUCAAACAGG